GAUGAACGCUGGCGGCGUGCCUAAUACAUGCAAGUCGAGCGAACAGACGAGGAGCUUGCUCCUCUGACGUUAGCGGCGGACGGGUGAGUAACACGUGGAUAACCUACCUUUAAGACUGGGAUAACUUCGGGAAACCGGAGCUAAUACCGGAUAAUAUAUUGAACCGCAUGGUUCAAUAGUGAAAGACGGUUUUGCUGUCACUUAUAGCUGGAUCCGCGCCGCAUUAGCUAGUUGGUAAGGUAACGGCUUACCAAGGCGACGAUGCGUAGCCGACCUGAGAGGGUGGUCGGCCACACUGGAACUGAGACACGGUCCAGACUCCUACGGGAGGCAGCAGUAGGGAAUCGUCCGCAAUGGGCGAAAGCCUGACGGAGCAACGCCGCGUGAGUGAUGAAGGUCUUCGGAUCGUAAAACUCUGUUAUUAGGGAAGAACAAAUGUGUAAGUAACUAUGCACGUCUUGACGGUACCUAAUCAGAAAGCCACGGCUAACUACGUG
rnacentral:rRNA from 1 species